rnacentral:misc_RNA from 1 species
UACAUAUAUAAAUGACCACAAAAAUAGAGAAAAUAAAUAAUUAACGAACCUAACCGCCUGAACUUGCAUAAAAUUACGAUAAGCGUAUUGCUCACAAUUUAAUGCACAAAAAAAUAAAUAAAAAUAUAUAUACAUAUAUAGAUAAUGAAAAAAUUUUAAACUAUUUUUCAAGUUAAAGAAAUAAUUUAAAGCUGAAAAUGUCUUUUAAUAAGUAUGUAAUGUGAAUAAAUUAAAUUUAAAAAAAAAGUUAAAAGUAGUGAAAAAAUAUAAAAUAUUCUAUCUAUAUGUAUAUAUAACAUUAAAAAUACUAUAAAAAUGUACAUGUGUACAUAAAUUCAUACAUCCGCAUAUGCCACAGUGUCAGCCGUCAGUUUUCAGCCGACGGCGCCGUCAUCGACAACACCGUUCUCGUUGUCGUUGUUAUCUUUGUGGUCGUCGGCAUCUGCAUCGCCAUCGUUUUAAUAUUGUAGUAUGUACAUAUGUACAUAUAUAUUAUUCGUUGCCGCAAUAGUUGCUCUUCUAUGGUCGGCAUAUCGUUAAUAGUCGAGAAGAAUCUAGAAAAGGCGCCAGCGCAGCAACAGACAGGCUGUUAAUAUGGCAUUUAAACAUACAUACAUUACAUAUAUGUAUACACACAAAUUCGAAUACUAUGUACAUAUAUAUUAAAAAUUUUACUAUACAAACAGGGGCAUUGUAAGCGACUAAAACACAUGAGCAUACAAAUAUAAAACUAUUCGUAUUUAAAUUUGUAAGUGUCUUUAUCACAAUACUUAUACAUACUUAUAUGUACAUGUGUGUAUAUGUACAUAUGGUAUAGCAGUAACCGUAGGCCCACGCGCUAUGCAGUCACACAAAUAAUCAUUAAAGCGUCUUCAUAAACAUAUGUACACACAUCUUUUAUCAACGCUUUGUAUGUACAUACAUAACUCUCCCGGCUUUUGGUAUUCGCUUAGUUUACUUACAUUCAUACAUAUGUGCAUGCAUACAUAUAUAUAUCUUUAUGCAUAUUUGCUUGUCCCCAUGCCUCCCUGCCUUUCACCAACAACUUUUUAGUGUGACGUCAGUAAAUGCUGUGUGCGCGCCUUUCGCUAAAUCAUGUCGCCUGCUUGCCGCACACCCAACCCUUACACGCUUGCGAUAUUCAAUUUUUUCUGCUUUUUUCAUUCUUCAUUUUAUGGCAUAUUUCUUUCUGUUAUUUUUCUCUUUUUCCUCUUCUUUUUUUCCUCUUCUUUUUUUCCUUUGAAUGCCAGCGCCCCAAGUCACGAAAAUCUUAAAAAAACUCGAACGUGCUCAAAAGCUCUAGCGCUGUAGAGCUCAAAAGAACAGUGAGUGGGUGAAUAGAGAGCAACGAGAGUAAGUGAUGAAACGAAUGAAGUGAAGAGAGACGAGUGUGAAAACCUACUAUUUCUGAUUGCUGUUGAUGUUAGUGGCGCAUGGGUUAGUUGAAUAUUUUAGUCUCAGAGCUUUUGAGUGCCACUUAGGCAGAGUGCUUGCGUGUUUGAGUGAGUCGUUAUUUGAGUUGAAUGUGACUGAAUGAGCAAGUAAAUGAGCGAGUGCGUGAAUGCUGGAGUAGCGUCGAGAAAAUUCUCGGUCAAAACUUGAAAGUAAGCGCCUAACUGCUAUAGGAUACACUUGCUGGUGUACGUUGAACAAAAUUAUUUGUAUGAGUAAAAAGUUAUUACUCAAUUAGAUACUCUUCAGCUCAGGUAGCAGUGCUUAGUGCUUUGCUUACUCAUUCGCCUGAUGACACUCGUAAGUUCACUCCACAUUACUCAUUGCUUAACUCUUUCUCUCGCUCUGCCACUCAUUUGGCGCUUCGCCUGCACUAGUUGACGGCCUAUGCGGCCUAUUAGGUGUACAUUCCCCAACAGCGUAACGUUUGCAGCAGUACGAUUUCGAACUCGCUCGGCGUAAGACAUUAACUGUUCCCGUAGACGCGGUCGUACACACGUAUACUAUAUAUAAAGUUAAUAAAUUUGCCAAGUUGCACACAUAGAAAAUAACAAAAAAAAAAAAACAAAAACAAAGCAAAAUCUUCAACGUCAGCAGCAGCAAAAGUAGUAGUGCUAAUAAAAAUUAUAAUUUUAUUGUGCCUGGCUAUGGUCUAAAACUGCACACAGCUAAUCGACAUCGAAAAAUUUUAUUAUAAAUUUUCUUUUCGGUGAUUUUCUUGUUGAAUUUGGUCGGCAGUGCUGCAACAAUCAACGCACGUCAUCAAAUCAACAAAUCGUCGAUUGCCGUAGCCGUCGUGGUCAUCGUAGCCGUUGUCAUUGUCGCCAAACGUCGUCGUCGUUGUAGUCGUUGCCGUCGUCAAAGUAAUCAAAGUCUCAGUGUGUUUCUCUAACAUAUAGUUUGACGACUGUUUUGCAAAGGGUGCAGAGGCAAAAAAAUAUUUUGCAAAAUAAUAUAUAAAAUUUAGAUUUUCGAAGAGAACAAUUUUCGAAGAAAAGUGGGCGCGUGCAAUUUAUAAAAAUAUUUUUACAAGUGUACAGCUGGCACAUUCCAACUAAAAUACAAACAUACAUACUUACCUGCAUACCUACAUACGCUUGAAAACGAAAAUUCAAGGCGAAAUUUGUAGUGUAUCUAGUGUUGAAUGCGAAUAGAAAAACUAACAAACAUACACACACACAAAUAGAAAAGCACACAAUUGUAGAAAAUUGUGUUGUUUACGAUUUCUACGAAAUAAAUAAGAAUUAAAUGAACUAAAAAUUGAAGAAAAUUCAAAUCGAAGCAUAUUUUGAAAGAAUAAAAACUAAAAAGUACAAAGCAAUUUGAAAAA